rnacentral:rRNA from 1 species
CACGUAGGGUGCAAGCGUUGUCCGGAAUUAUUGGGCGUAAAGAGCUCGUAGGCGGUCUGCUGCGUCCGCUGUGAAAACUCGGGGCUUAACCCCGAGCCUGCAGUGGAUACGGGCAGACUAGAGGUAGGUAGGGGAGAAUGGAAUUCCCGGUGUAGCGGUGAAAUGCGCAGAUAUCGGGAGGAACACCGGUGGCGAAGGCGGUUCUCUGGGCCUUACCUGACGCUGAGGAGCGAAAGCGUGGGGAGCGAACAGG